UAGUCCACGCCGUAAACGAUGGAUACUAGCUGUUUGGGGUAUCGACCCCCUGAGUAGCGAAGCUAACGCGUUAAGUAUCCCGCCUGGGGAGUACGGUCGCAAGAUUAAAACUCAAAGGAAUUGACGGGGACCCGCACAAGCGGUGGAGCGUGUUGUUUAAUUGGAUGAUAAGCCAAGAACCUUACCCAGACUUGACAUCCUUGGAAUUUUUUAGAAAUAAAGAAGUGCCUUUGGAACCAAGUGACAGGUGUUGCAUGGCCGUCGUCAGCUCGUGUCGUGAGAUGUUAGGUUAAGUCCUUCAACGAGCGCAACCCUUAUGAUUAGUUGGAUUUUUCUAGUCAGACUGCCUCGGUAACGGGGAGGAAGGAGGGGAUGAUGUCAGGUCCGUAUUACCCUUACGUCUGGGGGCUACAAACGCGCUACAAUGGCCGGUACAGAGGGCAGCAAAGCAGCAAUGUGGAGCAAAUCCCAUCAAAGCCGGUCCCAGUUCGGAUUGGAGGCUGAAACUCGCCUCCAUGAAGUCGGAAUCGCUAGU
rnacentral:rRNA from 1 species